AAAAAGGCAGAGAUGGAUUAUAGAAAGCUGACAGAGAUCUGGAACACAAAAGAGAAGAAUUUCGUCUUUACUGGCCGCAGAGUUGGCGAUAGUUGUCUGUAAUUCUGGAUCUUGCAUUUUCAUAUACAUAUUGGGACACUGGUUCUUUACUGACCGCUAGAUGCCACUGACUUUAAAUGAUUUGUCAUGAAUAGUUGAAUACAGCCUUCAUCAUAAAACAUGGCGAAACAAAUUGUUGCUAUUUUCUAUUUAUUUUUCUUUGAUUCAAAAAUACUGAAUCAUAAAGUCUGUCAGUGAUUCUAACAAGUUGACUUAGCGUUCAUUCACUUUCCAUCCAUUAGAUCCUCAUGCUGUCAAAAUCCUAAAACUAGUGUUUGAAGUACACAUAUAGUGGAAUACAAAUGUGCGGAUGUAAGUAUUUUCCCAUUACUGCUACCACACCAACGGCACCACGUCAAAUGCCUUACUAAAACAUCACCCAUUUGAUAAAGCAUCAGGAAAUUUAUCCCACACGAGGAGUGAUGCAGUUGGUUGCUGUAAUUCCAUUAUUACGGUUUUUCAUCAUGAAAAUUUCAGUGGGCUUCUUAGAAAAAAGCACCCAAAGUCCCCACGAACAUCCUUGAGCCAAUGCUGGAUUUUUUCCAUAACGGAAGAGGGACUUCCACCAACAUUCUGCUCCAUCCUUAUCUUCAAGCAUGCUUCAAGACUCAUCCAGCUUUACUGCUUUAACAGUGCUUCUUAUGCUGCUAGUCCUGCUACACAACUUUUCUUGCUUCACUGGCGAGUUGGAUCACUUCAGUUGCUGUGACACACCUGCAGUCACUCUCCACGGGAUUAUGGCCAGGUACCGGGCAAUUGACUUAUUUUCGUAGAUUGUCUACCAAUUCUAAAAUUUGCGUUAAACCUUCUGUCUGUGUAAUAAAAAU